GGGAUGUAGUUCAGUUGGUAGAGUGCUUGCCUUCUAUGCACAAGGUCCUGGGUUCAAUCCCCAGAUCCCG
rnacentral:tRNA from 1 species